rnacentral:rRNA from 1 species
AUUGAACGCUGGCGGCAGGCCUAACACAUGCAAGUCGAGUGAGCGGCGGACGGGUGAGUAAUGUAUGGGGACUGCCCGAUAGAGGGGGAUAACUACUGGCAACGGUGGCUAAUUCUGCCUACUACCGGUUAACCCAUAUGGGAUUAGUUAGUAGGUGGGGUAAAGGCUCACCUAGGCGCCGAUCUCUAGCUGGUCUGAGAGGAUGAUUAGCCGCACUGGGACUGAGACACGGACCAGACUCCUACGGAGGCAGCAGUGGGAAAUAUUGCACAAUGGGCGCAAGCCUGAUGCAGCCAUGCCGCGUGUAUGAAGAAGGCCUUAGGGUUGUAAAGUACUUUCAGCGGGGAGGCGUUACCCGCAGAGGAGGCACCGGCUAACUCCGUGCCAGCAGCCGCGGUAAUAC